rnacentral:rRNA from 1 species
AUACGGAGGGGGUUAGCGUUGUUCGGAAUUACUGGGCGUAAAGCGCACGUAGGCGGACUGGAAAGUUGGGGGUGAAAUCCCGGGGCUCAACCCCGGAACUGCCUCCAAAACUUCCAAUCUAGAGAUCGUGAGAGGUGAGUGGAAUUCCAAGUGUAGAGGUGAAAUUCGUAGAUAUUUGGAGGAACACCAGUGGCGAAGGCGGCUCACUGGCUCGAUACUGACGCUGAGGUACGAAAGUGUGGGGAGCAAACAGAAUUAGAAACCCUAGUAGUCC